rnacentral:rRNA from 1 species
CCUACGGGCGACUGCAGUGAGGAAUAUUGGUCAAUGGACGAGAGUCUGAACCAGCCAAGUAGCGUGAAGGAUGACUGCCCUAUGGGUUGUAAACUUCUUUUAUAAAGGAAUAAAACGAGGCACGUGUGCCUUUUUGCAUGUACUUUAUGAAUAAGGAUCGGCUAACUCCGUGCCAGCAGCCGCGGUAAUACGGAGGAUCCGAGCGUUAUCCGGAUUUAUUGGGUUUAAAGGGAGCGUAGCCGGGUUGUUAAGUCAGUUGUGAAAGUUUGCGGCUCAACCGUAAAAUUGCAAUUGAUACUGGCAGUCUUGAGUACAGUUGAGGUAGGCAGAAUUCGUGGUGUAGCGGUGAAAUGCGUAGAGAUCACGAAGAACCCCGAUGGCGAAGGCAGCUUACUAAACUGUGACUGACAUUGAUGCUCGAAAGUGUGGGUAGCAAACAGGAUUAGAUACCCCUGUAGUC